GGGAGUAGCUCAGUUGGUUAGAGCGCCGGCCUGUCACGCCGGAGGUCGCGGGUUCGAGCCCCGUCUCUC
rnacentral:tRNA from 3 species